rnacentral:rRNA from 1 species
UACGUAGGGGGCAAGCGUUGUCCGGAAUUAUUGGGCGUAGAGAGCGCGUAGGCGGUCUGAUAAGUCGGUUGUGAAAGUCGGGGGCUCAACCCUCGGAUGCCGAUCGAUACUGUCAGGCUAGAGUCCGGAAGAGGCGAGUGGAAUUCCUGGUGUAGCGGUGAAAUGCGUAGAUAUCAGGAGGAAUACCGGUGGUGUAGACGGCUCUCUGGACCGCCACUGACGCUGAGACACGAAAGCGUGGGUAGCAAACAGG